CAGGCGAGGUUUUUUGUGGUGCUGAUUUUCAUAUCAUGUACGUGCCGCUGACCUGCUUUCACGCCUGUAAACUUGUGAGCAUUACUUCAAAGCAGCUCUCACAUUUUCACCCACUUUAAGAGCGACAGUUUUGCUCUGAGGGGGGUUUAUUAUUCAAGACCCACUCUGUGCCCAACUUAGGCAUGGAUCGACUGUGCAGUAUUAUCCUUGUUCUUUUACACACAGCAGGAGCUUUCAGUAUUGCCCUUGAAGAGAAAGAAACGAACGUCCAUCUGGAACCAAAGCACAUUAAAGUUUGUGAAGGAGCCUCAGUCACAAUGAAGUGCACUUAUCAGAGUGGAAACUACAAAGUGAGCUGGCACUAUAGCCAGACAAAUAUUUCAGACUGUAGAUCAGCUAACAAGAUACCUGAAGAACAGCGUUUUUUAAAAGAGGAAAAUGAAGAUUGGUCAACACUCAAAAUUACUUUUAUCAAAGCCAAUGAGAGUGGAUGGUACUUCUGCCUGGUUACACAAGACAUCCCAGUUCUCAUACAAAAUUGCAGUAAUGGGAUAAAAGUUAUAGUCGGUAAGUAGAGGGACAUUGCAGUGUAUGGUAUACAAUAACAUUUGUUAUAGAAAAAUGUAUAUCAUGUAUUCUACAAACACCUACAUAUAAUAUAUUGAGGUCCCAAAGUCUGAGACCACACUAAACACCUGGGAAUCUAAACUGUAUUUAAACCUGAAAGUUAAAGGAUUUUUGUAUUUAAAAAAAACAUAGAAAAAAAUAUAUUUAAGUUUCUGAACUACUUCUGCAUUACUAAACAAAUACAUAAAUCACAUGAACUCUCCAGCUAAUCAGAUGCUCUUUGUAUGAUUCUCUAAUCAUGAUGGAGAACACGAUCAUCAGGUGUUACAUGAACUUGUAAAGUUCAUGCAGUUUAAGUGCUGCUGUCAAUAAAAAGACAAACCAAAUUUAUUCUGAAGAUAUUCUGAAAUUUUUUCUGUUUUUCUGAAAAGUUUUUCUGAUAAAAUAAUUUGUAAUGUGAAAAACAUCAGUGGUUUCAGACUGUCACAUCGCAUUAUACAGCACUGCAUCACCUUAUUGAUUACAAAUAGCUUCUAUAAAUAUAAACUACUACAUGAAAACUACUUCACAACAAAUGUUGCAUUCUGGCUUUUAAUCAGAUCACCUACUUGUAGGGAAAUAAAGAGCUGUAUCCAAAUAUUUGACAAAGUUUUCUUUUCUUCCAUUUUCCAGCGUAAACAGAAAUUUUAAUCGCAGAAGUUUAGAAUCCUUUAUUGAAAUUCAUCCAUAACAACAUUCACCAUUGUUUUUGUUUU